CCUACGGGAGGCAGCAGUGGGGAAUCUUGCGCAAUGGGCGAAAGCCUGACGCAGCAACGCCGCGUGCGGGAAGAAGGCCUUAGGGUUGUAAACCGCUUUCAGUAGGAACGAAAAUGACGGUACCUGCAGAAGAAGGUGCGGCCAACUACGUGCCAGCAGCCGCGGUGACACGUAGGCACCAAGCGUUGUCCGGAUUUAUUGGGCGUAAAGAGCUCGUAGGCGGUUCAGUAAGUCGGGUGUGAAAACUCUGGGCUUAACCCAGAGCCGCCACUCGAUACUGCUGUGACUUGAGUUCGGUAGGGGAGCAGGGAAUUCCUAGUGUAGCGGUGAAAUGCGCAGAUAUUAGGAGGAACACCGGUGGCGAAGGCGCUGCUCUGGGCCGAUACCUGACGCUGAGGAGCGAAAGCGUGGGUAGCAAACGAGGAUUAGACUACCCGUGGUAGUCCACGCCGUAAACGUUGGGCACUAGGUGUGGGUUACCAACCGAACGGUAACUCCGCGCCGUCGACUACGCAUUAGUCGCCCGCGUCGGAGGACGGCGGCGACGACGUAAACGUAAAGUAAGUAGACGGCGNGAAGUACGUGCGAGACGACGACGAGGAGAGG
rnacentral:rRNA from 1 species